GAGGAGCUGCGUUACAGACACACUUCGGAGGAGGCUUCCGCUGAAGAAGCUUGGGAGCUAAGUCCGAGAAAAGCAGGGUGAUCACAGAAGUGCCAACCAGAGAGAAGGCUCUCCUGGACAAGCACUUGGAGUGAGAACCAGAAGGUGAUUCACAGACCCAGACCCUCCACCAUCCACGUAAUAUUAGUUGAUCCCCAGAGAGCAGAGUGACCAGACAGAAGUGCCAGCCAGGGAGAAGGCUCUACUAGUAAAGAAGUUGGAGUGAGAAAUCAGACCACAGACUCAACCCCUCCAGCAUCCUCAGAUAUUUGGGAGGGGCCUUCUGUCUUCAUCACAGGGAUGGGUGGAGCAUUCUCUGAGACUUGGAAGUGAGCAGUGCUGGGCCAGUCUUGGGGGAGGAGCUGCAUUUCACCAGGCUGCAGCUGACACGAAGCUUCAAGGUAAUGGCUGUCUCAACUCUAGUUAUUUUCUACGGAUUUCUCAGGAUCAUAGAGUAAAGUGGAAAAUUUCCUGGAUCUAAUCAAGCACGGAGCCUGGUUGCUGUGUUGACUAGAGCCCUGCGUGUGUCCUCUUUGCAGCUUACUCUUUCAAAUCACAGGUAG